UGGCUCAGGAUGAACGCUAGCGGCAGGCUUAACACAUGCAAGUCGAGGGGCAGCGGGGAGGAAGCUUGCUUUCUCCGCCGGCGACCGGCGCACGGGUGAGUAACACGUAUGCAACCUGCCCCUGUCAGGGGGACAACCCGCCGAAAGGCGGGCUAAACCCGCGUACAUGCCACCGGGGCAUCCCGGAGGCAGGAAAGGCUUCGGCCGGACAGGGAUGGGCAUGCGGCGCAUUAGGCAGUAGGCGGGGUAACGGCCCACCUAACCGACGAUGCGUAGGGGUUCUGAGAGGAAGGUCCCCCACACUGGUACUGAGACACGGACCAGACUCCUACGGGAGGCAGCAGUGAGGAAUAUUGGUCAAUGGUCGGGAGACUGAACCAGCCAAGCCGCGUGAGGGAUGAAGGUACAGAGUAUCGUAAACCUCUUUUGUCAGGGAACAAAGGCGGGGACGUGUCCCCGGAUGAGUGUACCUGAAGAAAAAGCAUCGGCUAACUCCGUGCCAGCAGCCGCGGUAAUACGGAGGAUGCGAGCGUUAUCCGGAUUUAUUGGGUUUAAAGGGUGCGCAGGCGGUCUGUUAAGUCAGCGGUCAAAGCCCGGGGCUCAACCCCGGCCCGCCGUUGAAACUGGCAGUCUCGAGUUGGAGAGAAGUAUGCGGAAUGCGCGGUGUAGCGGUGAAAUGCAUAGAUAUCGCGCAGAACUCCGAUUGCGAAGGCAGCAUGCCGGCUCCACACUGACGCUGAGGCACGAAAGCGUGGGUAUCGAACAGGAUUAGAUACCCUGGUAGUCCACGCAGUAAACGAUGAAUGCUGGCUGUCCGGGGGGGAUUGACCCCUGGGUGGCGAAGCGAAAGCGAUAAGCAUUCCACCUGGGGAGUACGCCGGCAACGGUGAAACUCAAAGGAAUUGACGGGGGCCCGCACAAGCGGAGGAACAUGUGGUUUAAUUCGAUGAUACGCGAGGAACCUUACCCGGGCUCAAACGGGGAGUGACUCAGGCAGAGACGCCUGUUUCCCACGGGACACUCCCCGAGGUGCUGCAUGGUUGUCGUCAGCUCGUGCCGUGAGGUGUCGGCUUAAGUGCCAUAACGAGCGCAACCCCCGCGUGCAGUUGCUAACAGAUAACGCUGAGGACUCUGCACGGACUGCCGGCGCAAGCCGCGAGGAAGGCGGGGAUGACGUCAAAUCAGCACGGCCCUUACGUCCGGGGCGACACACGUGUUACAAUGGGUGGUACAGCGGGAAGCCAGGCGGCGACGCCGAGCGGAACCCGAAAUCCACUCUCAGUUCGGAUCGGAGUCUGCAACCCGACUCCGUGAAGCUGGAUUCGCUAGUAAUCGCGCAUCAGCCAUGGCGCGGUGAAUACGUUCCCGGGCCUUGUACACACCGCCCGUCAAGCCAUGGGAGCCGAGGGCGCUUGAAGUGCGUCGCCGCGAGGCGCGCCCUAGAGCGAAAUCGGUGACUGGGGCUAAGUCGUAACAAGGUAACCG
rnacentral:rRNA from 1 species